GACGAACCGUGCGAACGUUGUUCGGAUUCACUGGGCUUAAAGGGCGCGUAGGCGGGCGGUCAAGUCGGGGGUGAAAUCUUUCAGCUUAACUGGAAAAGUGCCUCCGAUACUGAUCGUCUCGAGGGAGGUAGGGGCAUGUGGAACUUCCGGUGGAGCGGUGAAAUGCGUAGAUAUCAGGAGGAACACCUGCGGUGUAGACGGCUUUCUGGACCAUUGUUGACGCUGAGACACGAAAGCGUGGGUAGCAAACAGG
rnacentral:rRNA from 1 species